GGCACGUCCCUGGCCUCGCCGCUGCCGUCUACGACCACGCCAUGCUGCUGCAUCCACCUCACUGACCUCUAGCAGCCUAGCUGAUGGUUCAGAGCGCAUCCGAGGAGUUGCAGCGAAGCAGGGGGUACGGGGAGGUGACCUCUGAUGGGGUAACAUGUGGAGACAUGGUGGUGAACAUCAUCGACGACUUCCGCUGAGGCCCUCCGGUGGCUGCGGAUCAUUUCUGCAAUUGUGAGGUAUGAACCCCUCUCUGCUCGGUCUGUUUCAAGUGCUAUUGUGGUUGUUACUGCUACUUAAUUCAUGUGUUGUUGGCACAUGCUUUUCUUUUCUUUUGCAAAGCAAGGAGUAGAACAGCAGCCAGUAAGAUGAGAUCCAUUUGCUGUUGUAUAUCUGGAUGCCAGAUGAGUUGGUCUUGUGUGAAUUUCUCGCUGUAUUUGCCGUUGUGUUGUCAAUGUGGAUGCCCGAGAAUUUAUCGGAGGCCAUGCCGGAUUUUUUCUUGACCUGAUGCAGUUGAUCUAUUAGCUGAAGUGUGUGUUGGCUAUUGUGUGUUUGUUUUUUCUUAAACACUACUACCAGAGGUGAUCUAGUUAGGUAGGAAUCAAGAGAUGUACAUGUUCUGUAGCUAUGAUGCCUACGGUUUACUCACUGGAUUGUGGUAGUAUGUGAAACUUUCAGGGAACAUCAAAAUUAACCUCCAGUUUGCACAAAUUGAUCUGUACUGCUAAUGAACAAAUGAAAAACUUGAUGAGAAAAUCAUGUCACAUGAGUUCAGUUUUUAGUUUGAUUCCUAGUUUCACUAUGUCCACUUGCUUUUAAUUCGCAGCCUUCUCCUCCUCGUUGGAUGUAUGAAUAGUUUGCUCUGAAAUUGCUAUGAUCAUUCAUGUAGUAUUUACUUGUUCAAAAUCCUGUGGUAUUCAGUUUCGCUAAAUCUGUUGUAGAGAUAACGGGCAUGUUUUCCUCUUGUGCAAGGGUAUCGAGGAGGAGAAGAUUGCAGCCAUGGUAGCUGGAAUGUAGCUGGAUGCAUUGCUUGUUUGUGUACAUGUUUAAGGUUGAGAGCACAUCCGAGGAGUUGCAGUGAAUCGGGGGUACAGGGAGGUGGCCUCUGAGGGCAAACAUGUGGAGACAUGGUGGUGAACAUCAUCGGCGGCUUCCGCUGAGGCCAUCCGGUGGCUGCGGAUCACUUCUGCAAUUGUGAGGUAUGAACCCCUCUCUCCUUGGUCUGUUUCAAGUGCUAUUGUGGUUGUUACUGCAACCUAAUUCAUGUGUUGGUGACACAUGAUUUUCUUUUCUUUUGCAAUGCAAGGAGUAGAACGGCAGCCAGUAAGAUGAGAUUCAUUUGCUGUUGUAUAUCUGGAUGCCAGAUGAGUUGGUCUUGUGAAUUGCUCGCUGUAUUUGCCAAUCAAUGUGGAUGUCCGAGAAUUUAGGGGAUGCCAUGCUGGACCUGAUGUAGUUGAUCCAUUAGCUGAAGUGUGUGUUGGCUACUACAGUGUCUUUGUUUUUUCCGUAAACAAUACUACCAGAGCUGAUCUAGUUAGGUAGGAAUGAAGAGAUA